GACGUAGGGUGCAAGCGUUGUCCGGAAUUAUUGGGCGUAAAGAGCUCGUAGGCGGUUUGUCGCGUCUGCUGUGAAAACGCGAGGCUCAACCUCGCGCCUGCAGUGGGUACGGGCAGACUGGAGUGCGGUAGGGGAGAUUGGAAUUCCUGGUGUAGCGGUGGAAUGCGCAGAUAUCAGGAGGAACACCGAUGGCGAAGGCAGAUCUCUGGGCCGUAACUGACGCUGAGGAGCGAAAGCGUGGGGAGCGAACAGG
rnacentral:rRNA from 1 species